rnacentral:tRNA from 3 species
CAGAAAAUAGUUUAUUUGAAAACAUCAGCUUUGGGAGCUGGAGAGAGAGGUUUAGUCCUUUUUUUCUGA